UCCAUCCUGCCGCCCUGGCCAACUCCCUGCCUCGUCCCCCGGCUAGCCCGGCCCUGGGGAUAUGGGCAGAGCCAGCCGGAGAGAGUGUGCUUGAGUCAGCAGAGCCAGGAAUGAGGACUCGCUCCAUUUUACCCCGCGGGGGAAGGCAAAGCAGACCAGCCGUCCCUGUGACGGCUGGUGCAGCAUCUCCGCGAUGUGAGCUCAAGCAAAGAACCUGCUGAGGAAGCAGCUGUUGGGAACCCCUGUUGGCAAAGACAGCGACACGCCUGGCAGCGCCCGCAGCCAUUCAAGGGGGAUCUGACAGCUGUAGCAGGCGUCUUUGCAGUAGUCCCAGUUCAGCCCAUCGCUUUGUAGGUUGAAAACAGACUUUGGAGGCUCUAGGAACACCUCCUGGCUCAUGGCGUGGAUGCACAGGGCUCUCCUGGCUUUCAGCAACUGCUGCCUUUCCUCGUCGAGCAGAGAGGGGAAGCAAAGGCCGAGAAGCCAGGCCAGUGGCUCAGACUUCACCGAUCACCAUUGGUGCCUGGGUUAGGACUCAAGGGUUACCGUGUCAGGGAGCUGGGACAGGAGCUCAUUUCCAAACAUGCAGCCCAUUGGCUGCAAGGGAUGAUGUCACCAGCCUGUGCAUGACAGCGGCAAAGUGCCAUGAGUGUGAGGUCACAGGCUGGUUGGAGAUGAGGAGCUCUGUGGCGCUAAUGGUUGCGUGUGAGCACAGGGUAACCUACAGCGCCCCGGUGCAUGGGGGAGAGCCAAGAUGCUCUUGUCCCAGGCUCUGGUCUCCACUGACUAUCCAAAAGAGCAGUGCUUGACAUCGCCUCCAAAACAUGGCAUGGUUUGGGGAGCACUUGCAUUUCUCUUGCUGGUUUGUCAGUCAGGAUGGCUGACUGAUAGUCACGAUGCAGAAAGCAAGAUGCAAUCUACCUUUUAUUGGACCAAUGACAUUGUGGGUCCAGAGAUGCUUUGGCUCUUCCCCAGGCCUGGAAGCUGGUAGGAUCCCUGUCCCAAUUAUACAGCUGCUCUAAUAAAAGAUAUCACCGAGCAAACCCUGCUUCUUGCAAACUCCUGGGACUAUCACAGCUGCAACAACUGCACCACAACGAGCGCAGAAGGAGCCCGAGGGUCCUGCAGAGCUGGGGUUAAACAGGCCUGCUUUGCAGAGCUGUUGGCAAGAUCCUGCUGUUAAACACUGAACCCUCUCAUGCACAAAGCUGUGUGCACUACAGCAGCUGGAUCUUUAUUAAGUGCACUGUACUCAGCGCUGGUGCUUGCAGUGCGAGCAUGUGGAGGUUCAAAGCUUACAGGUGUUACGCUUAA